UAACCUCUGGCGAAGUACGUGAAUGUUG
rfam:Imtechella halotolerans K1 Contig6, whole genome shotgun sequence.